UGAGCAAUCUGCCCUUCUCAUCGGAAUAAGCGUUGGAAACGACGUCUAAUGCCGAAUACGACCUCCUUUCNCAUGAUCGGAGGUGGAAAGCUCCGGCGGAGAAGGAUGAGCUCGCGGCCUAUCAGCUAGUUGGUGUGGGUAACGGCCCACCAAGGCGACGACGGGUAGCCGGCCUGAGAGGGCGACCGGCCACACUGGGACUGAGACACGGCCCAGACUCCUACGGGAGGNAGCG
rnacentral:rRNA from 1 species